rnacentral:rRNA from 1 species
GAUGAACGCUAGCUACAGGCUUAACACAUGCAAGUCGCGGGGCAGCAUGGGGGUUGCUCGCAAUCCCCGAUGGCGACCGGCGCACGGGUGAGUAACGCGUAUCCAACCUGCCCUUCACCACGGGAUAACCCGGCGAAAGUCGGACUAAUACCGUAUGUUGUCCAUUGACGGCAUCCGAUUUGGACGAAAGGUUUGGCGGUGAAGGAUGGGGAUGCGUCCGAUUAGCUGGACGGCGGGGUGACGGCCCACCGUGGCGACGAUCGGUAGGGGUUCUGAGAGGAAGGUCCCCCACACUGGAACUGAGACACGGUCCAGACUCCUACGGGAGGCAGCAGUGAGGAAUAUUGGUCAAUGGGCGUAAGCCUGAACCAGCCAAGUAGCGUGCAGGAUGACGGCCCUAUGGGUUGUAAACUGCUUUUAUGCGGGGAUAAAGUGGCCCACGUGUGGGUUUUUGCAGGUACCGCAUGAAUAAGGACCGGCUAAUUCCGUG